GGGCGCAUAGCUCAGCGGUAGAGCACUACCUUGACAUGGUAGGGGUCACAGGUUCAAUCCCUGUUGCGCCCACCA
rnacentral:tRNA from 153 species